rnacentral:rRNA from 1 species
GGGAGAAAGCAGGGGACCUUCGGGCCUUGCGCUAUCAGAUGAGCCUAGGUCGGAUUAGCUAGUUGGUGGGGUAAUGGCUCACCAAGGCGACGAUCCGUAACUGGUCUGAGAGGAUGAUCAGUCACACUGGAACUGAGACACGGUCCAGACUCCUACGGGAGGCAGCAGUGGGGAAUAUUGGACAAUGGGCGAAAGCCUGAUCCAGCCAUGCCGCGUGUGUGAAGAAGGUCUUCGGAUUGUAAAGCACUUUAAGUUGGGAGGAAGGGCAGUAAAUUAAUACUUUGCUGUUUUGACGUUACCGACAGAAUAAGCACCGGCUAACUCUGUGCCAGCAGCCGCGGUAAUACAGAGGGUGCAAGCGUUAAUCGGAAUUACUGGGCGUAAAGCGCGCGUAGGUGGUUCGUUAAGUUGGAUGUGAAAUCCCCGGGCUCAACCUGGGAACUGCAUUCAAAGCUGACGAGCUAGAGUAUGGUAGAGGGUGGUGGAAUUUCCUGUGUAGCGGUGAAAUGCGUAGAUAUAGGAAGGAACACCAGUGGCGAAGGCGACCACCU